rnacentral:lncRNA from 1 species
UCUUCUGCUGUGAUUAGGAUGCGGAUGGGGGAUUCUGUGGGGACAACUAUGCGAUAAUUAACGUCAAGAAGGCGGAAGAAUCCGUUGGGCAGGUCUUCAGUGGGGAUUAUAUACGAGUCAAAGGACAUGUUCUUGUAGUCAGUGUAUUCAUAGCUUCAAUAUCAUUGGUGUCCGAUAGUUUUGAUGGUCAAGCAAUUACGAUUAGGAUAAUUGCUGGGAGAGCGGUUCAAAUGGUUUCAAUUUCUUGGGUGUCUAUGGUAUCAGUAUGUGUAAGGUUGGUAGUUAGUGUUAGGGUUGCGGAGUAUACAACUACAGCGCUGAUAAGAAGCAUGAUGAUGAGAGCGUGAUCAUGGAGAUGGAGGAGUUCUUCUAUAAUGGGAGAAGUGGCGUCUUGAAAUCCUAGCUGGGUUGGGUGGGCCAUUAGAACUCAUAGGGUUUAGCCUAUAACUUAGCGCUGACAGGGCUAUAUAAUGAUUUACUAGGGUUCUUAAGAGAGAAGUAUAAAGGUGAUGCGUCCUGUUUGAAACUGGAAUAAGGUGGUUCAAUUCCUCCCUCUCUUGACUCAGUUGUGGCUGGAGUAGGGUCCUCAUCGUUUGAAUGAGUAUCGAUUUUGCAUUUCUUGGACUAGUACUGGCUCUUCAUAGGUGUGGAAGGGCGGUGGAGAUCCAUGGAUUCACUCGAGAUUAGCUUCGGGUGAGGCUGUUGUUAGAACGAGGCGCUUAGCGGAAAAAGCUUCUCAAAUGAUAAAAAUUAUUAUGAUGACUCCUAUAAGGGAAAUUAGGGAUCCAAUUGAUGAUAAUGCAUUUCAUAGGGAGUAAGCGUCUGGGUAAUCAGAAUAUCGACGUGGUAUACCUGCGAGGCCAAGAAAAUGUUGAGGGAAGAAGGUUAUGUUAACUCCAAUAAAUAUCGUACCAAAUUGAAUUUUGGUUCAUAGUGGGUGGAGUGUAAAACCUGAGAAUAGAGGGAAUCAGUGCAUGAAUCCUGCUAUAAUUGCGAAGACUGCUCCUAUGGACAGAACGUAGUGGA